AUUGAACGCUGGCGGCAGGCCUAACACAUGCAAGUCGAGCGGAGCGGCGGACGGGUGCGUAAUGCCUAGGAAUCUGCCUGGUAUUGGGGGAUAACGUCAGGAAACGGGCGCUAAUACCGCAUACUAUAAGAUGAGACUCGUGUGUAUUAGCUAGUUGGUGAGGUAAAGGCCUACCAAGGCGACGAUCCGUAACUGGUCUGAGAGGAUGAUCAGUCACACUGGAACUGAGACACGGUCCAGACUCCUACGGGAGGCAGCAGUGGGGAAUAUUGGACAAUGGGCGAAAGCCUGAUCCAGCCAUGCCGCGUGUGUGAAGAAGGUCUUCGGAUUGUAAAGCACUUUAAGUUGGGAAGCGUUACCAACAGAGUAAGCACCGGCUAACUACGUGCCAGCAGCCGCGGUAAUAC
rnacentral:rRNA from 1 species